AGGAAUAUUGGUCAAUGGGCGGAAGCCUGAACCAGCCAAGUAGCGUGAAGGAUGACUGCCCUAUGGGUUGUAAACUUCUUUUAUAGGGGAAUAAAAUGAGCCACGUGUGGCUUUUUGUAUGUACCCUAUGAAUAAGGAUCGGCUAACUCCGUGCCAGCAGCCGCGGUAAUACGGAGGAUCCGAGCGUUAUCCGGAUUUAUUGGGUUUAAAGGGAGCGUAGGUGGACAUGUAAGUCAGUUGUGAAAGUUUGCGGCUCAACCGUAAAAUUGCAGUUGAUACUGUGUGUCUUGAGUACAGUAGAGGUGGGCGGAAUUCGUGGUGUAGCGGUGAAAUGCUUAGAUAUCACGAAGAACUCCGAUUGCGAAGGCAGCUCACUGGACUGUUACUGACACUGAGGCUCGAAAGUGUGGGUAUCAAACAGGAUUAGAUACCCUGGUAGUCCACACAGUAAACGAUGAAUACUCGCUGUUUGCGAUAUACAGCAAGCGGCCAAGCGAAAGCAUUAAGUAUUCCACCUGGGGAGUACGCCGGCAACGGUGAAACUCAAAGGAAUUGACGGGGGCCCGCACAAGCGGAGGAACAUGUGGUUUAAUUCGAUGAUACGCGAGGAACCUUACCCGGGCUUAAAUUGCAUUUGAAUGUUGGGGAAACCCAACAGCCGUAAGGCAAAUGUGAAGGUGCUGCAUGGUUGUCGUCAGCUCGUGCCGUGAGGUGUCGGCUUAAGUGCCAUAACGAGCGCAACCCUUAUCUUUAGUUACUAACAGGUUAUGCUGAGGACUCUAGAGAGACUGCCGUCGUAAGAUGUGAGGAAGGUGGGGAUGACGUCAAAUCAGCACGGCCCUUACGUCCGGGGCUACACACGUGUUACAAUGGGGGGUACAGAAGGCAGCUACCUGGUGACAGGAUGCUAAUCCCAAAAGCCUCUCUCAGUUCGGAUCGAAGUCUGCAACCCGACUUCGUGAAGCUGGAUUCGCUAGUAAUCGCGCAUCAGCCACGGCGCGGUGAAUACGUUCCCG
rnacentral:rRNA from 1 species